CUCUACCACUUCUUCCCUGCGCAGUCACUAGGGACGGACUCUGGCAGCAGAGCCGCGCUGUCGUGCCCCAGCCAGCCAGGCUCUCCUGGGUCAGUGGGGGGCCAGAAGGGACCUCAUGUGUGAGAUCUGGAAGCGGGAAUUGGAGCAGCAGUUUCAUUCUGCUUCAGCUCAGGAAGCGCCCUGGAUCCUGCCUCUACCACUUCUUCCCUGCAGCGUCUGCGGUUCCCCCACCGCUGUGAGCCAGGUUCCCCCUCCAGGCUGCUGGGCUGGGACUGAGUUACUUCUUCCCAGGCUGUAAAUCCUGGGACUGCUGUGCAAGGCAGAGUCACUAGGGACGGACUCUGGCAGCAGAGCUGCGCUCUCGUGCCCCAGCCAGCCAGGCUCUCCUGGGAUCUGGGCUGGAAGGGGCUGCCGAGACCAUCAGUCCAAUCUUUGGUCUACAGGUUGGGAAACUGAGGCUCAAGGAAGGCUCUGCGUCCUGCUUUGUGUAAGGAGAGAGCUGGGCAGUGAGGCCGAAAGUCCUUCCUGAGCUCACAGUCCAAGUUGCAAGGAAUCACAUCAUUUCCAAGUACCCAUGGCAGAAGAGGGAGCCAUCCUCAAGGUCACCAAAGACCUAAGAGCAGCUGCCGUCUCUGCCAUCCUCCAGGGCUAUGGGGAUGGGCAGGGGCCAGUGACGGACACCAGUGCCGAGCUGCACAGACUCUGUGGC
rnacentral:lncRNA from 1 species